AUUGAACGCUGGCGGCAGGCCUAACACAUGCAAGUCGAGCGGAUGAAGGGAGCUUGCUCCCUGAUUCAGCGGCGGACGGGUGAGUAAUGCCUAGGAAUCUGCCUGGUAGUGGGGGACAACGUUUCGAAAGGAACGCUAAUACCGCAUACGUCCUACGGGAGAAAGCAGGGGACCUUCGGGCCUUGCGCUAUCAGAUGAGCCUAGGUCGGAUUAGCUAGUUGGUGAGGUAAUGGCUCACCAAGGCGACGAUCCGUAACUGGUCUGAGAGGAUGAUCAGUCACACUGGAACUGAGACACGGUCCAGACUCCUACGGGAGGCAGCAGUGGGGAAUAUUGGACAAUGGGCGAAAGCCUGAUCCAGCCAUGCCGCGUGUGUGAGGAAGGUCUUCGGAUUGUAAAGCACUUUAAGUUGGGAGGAAGGGUUGCUGAUUAAUACUCUGCAAUUUUGACGUUACCGACAGAAUAAGCACCGGCUAACUCUGUGCCAGCCGCCGCUGUAAGAC
rnacentral:rRNA from 1 species